ensembl:lncRNA
CAGAACUGAAGAGAGGAAGGGGAGGAGCCGAGUGGAGCCUAAGCUGCCGCCUGAUCUUACCCCUGACCCGAGGGCGGCGGAGAGAGCUUGCUCUUAGCGGUUUCCUUCAGGGCAGGUGGUGACUGCUCCUUUGGGAGCAAGGAGGAGGCCCAGGCCGCGCGGCCAUGCUCGGGCGCACAACCCGAAGCUUUUCCUACAGAUGUUAUCCUGGAAAGUAAAUUCAAGUAAAAACUCAUGAAGUUGAAAGUAUAGUUCUCUAAGAAAAGAAAUUUUAAGAUAAAAAGACCAAAAUCCUCAGAAAUCUGGCUUGAACCUGUUCUGGUGAAUAGUGUGAGAAUGAGAUAAAAGCAGCAGCAACGAUGAAAGGAAGCAGAUUCCACCGUUCUGUCGCUGGACCCUGGCACACCCUGCCUCCUCUACAGACGGCAGUAAUGGAUUUUACAAGUCUUUCCACCUCAGGGGUUAAGGAGCAAGUGUUUAUAGUCAGAUUUGGGAGACUCUAGGUUUCUACCAUUACUGCCACCACCAUCGGCAAACAGUAGACCUAGGAAACUUCUAACUGGGUAAAUCGAAGGGCUCGUUUUUAUUAAAAUACUGCAGAAAAAGUGAUGGAGGUGGGAGGAGGGUAUUGCACAAGUGAGAAGAGACUCACAAAGUAGCACCUGCCUGCCUGCCCUUGAUCCAAAGUUCCAAGACCCGGGUUAACUAUCCUGCUUAAACUACCCUGGAUUUGACUGUCUUUUCAUGACCAAUCCCCUGCCAUGUCCUUCCAAAUAAGAUUCAUAGGGAAUCAAACCACUAAGUGAUGGCCCAAUAUGGCUACAAAAUAAUUUUUUUUAGUUUUGUCCCUUUUCCUAAUUUGCUGGUGGAAAUCGAAGGAGUAAAGUGCACAGAUAUAGGGGAUUUUGUGAAGCUGAGCACCUCAGAUUUUAAAUUCUGUCGGCUUUAGAUAAAAAGAGAGCAAACACCAGAGCUCUGAAGCCCAGCAGAGGACGCCUCCAGAAAAGUGUGUGCCACGUUUGGUUUUUCAGCAGCCUGAUUUGGUUUCAUUGUCAGUGGCUCCACCUUAGAACCUUAGUGCUGAGACAGAAUGGCACUCAGGAGAGCCCUCAGCCACCUACUUACGAAGGAACAGCUGCGCUAAGCUUACUGGGCAAGAUCCACCCACCUCACCACCCAGCAUGCUAACUGGAGGAAACAGCUGGGACUGGUGACUGGAGAGGAGGAAGUUCAUGCAUUUCCAACUUGGUCUGCAUCUCUUUAGUUCUUUUAUUUCUUAUUAAUCCAGAGGAGAGAACCAUUCAUUCAAAAUUCUGAAGUUUUAGGUAACAGAGUUCUUUCCCUGCUUCAAUUUGUUUGUGAUAAAGAUCUGCAUACUCUGUUAAAAUAUAACAAAGGGAUAUUUGCCUAGGGUUCUUUUCUCCUACGCUUGAAAGCGAGCUCUUGUGAGAGUCUGUUUAAUCAGUUUUAUUGUCCCACAUCGGUGGUUUUUACUGUCAAAGAUUUCAUAAGCUAAAUUAUCUGGCAAAAUUUCUUUCUAGAAAUGCUAUCUACAAUAUUCAAUUACUUUCGCAUUUUUAUUGUGAAAUAUACAUUGAAAUGCAUAAAGCAGUUAAUCAGUAUAAUGAGUAAUUAUGAAAGAAACCUCAGUGUGACUCACCAGGUCAAGAAAUGGAACAUUGCCAGCACCCCAGAAGCCCCCCCAGUGACCUUCUUGAACACAACUCUCCCUCCCUUUUAGAGUUGACCAUCUAACUUUUGUGAUAAUCAUUUCCUUGUUUUUCUCUAUUGUUUUGUCACGAGCGUGCAUCCCUAAACAAUAUGUUGUUUAGUUUUGCCCUUUCUUUUGAACUUUAUUAAAUGGAACAACAUAAUAUGUAAUCUGUUGUGCUUACUGCUUUUGCUCAACAUCAUUUUUAAUCCGUAUGUUGUUCGGGUUCAUAUAGCUGUAAUUUGUUCAUUUUAAUUGCUGCAUAUUACAGUGUUCCAUUGUAGCAAUAUGCCAUAAUUUAUUUAGCUGUUCUAUUGUUGAUGGACGUCUAGGUUGUUUCCAGUUUGGGGCUGUUAUAAAUGGUGCUGUGAACAUUCUUCAUAGAUGUAUUCCAUCACAUCUAUAUCAGUUUCUGUAUAGUAUAUACCUGGGAGUGGUAAUGUGUGUCAUAAACUUGAAUAAAUAACGCCAAGCUGUUUUCUAAAGUGUUAUACUCACACCAACCAUGUAUGAAUCCCCUUGCUCCACACCCUCAACUACACCCUCACUCUUUAGUUUUGCCUGUCUGGUGAGUGUGUGGUAGUGUGUCAUUGUAGUUUUAAAUUGCAUCUCCCUGAUUACUGACGCUGUUGAGGACCUUUUUACAUAUCAACUAGCCAUUUGGAUUUCCUUUUUGUGAAGUGUGACAUUAUCUUUUUCAUGCCUAAUCUCAGAGAUGCCCCAUUUUCCUGUAUCCUUUUAUAGUACACAUUUGAACAAUAUAUUUCAGGUAAGGUAAUGCUACCAAGUGAC